CGAUGGCAAGUUCCUUUGGUGUCGACGAGUUAUAGGCAUCAAAUUUUCUGCUAUCGGAAAGAAAAGUGGGAUCACUUCACCCAGCGCUACGCUGAGAAGAUUCGUUCUUCCGCAUAAUCUCGUAGACGCUGGUUUUGCAGAUCCGCACAUAC